rnacentral:rRNA from 1 species
CCUACGGGUGGCAGCAGUCGAGAAUCAUUCACAAUGGGGGAAACCCUGAUGGUGCGACGCCGCGUGGGGGAAUGAAGGUCUUCGGAUUGUAAACCCCUGUCAUGUGGGAGCAAAUUAAAAAGAUAGUACCACAAGAGGAAGAGACGGCUAACUCUGUGCCAGCAGCCGCGGUAAUACAGAGGUCUCAAGCGUUGUUCGGAAUCACUGGGCGUAAAGCGUGCGUAGGCUGUUUCGUAAGUCGGGUGUGAAAGGCGCGGGCUCAACCCGCGGACGGCACAUGAUACUGCGAGACUAGAGUAGUGGAGGGGGAACCGGAAUUCUCGGUGUAGCAGUGAAAUGCGUAGAUAUCGAGAGGAACACUCGUGGCGAAGGCGGGUUCCUGGACAUUAACUGACGCUGAGGCACGAAGGCCAGGGGAGCGAAAGGGAUUAGAUACCCGGGUAGUC